UACAGAGGGUGCAAGCGUUAAUCGGAAUUACUGGGCGUAAAGCGUGCGCAGACGGUUGCGUAAGUCAGAUGUGAAAGCCCCGGGCUCAACCUGGGAAUUGCAUUUGAGACUGCGUAGCUAGGGUGCGGAAGAGGGAAGCGGAAUUUCCGGUGUAGCGGUGAAAUGCGUAGAUAUCCGGAAGAACACCAAAGGCGAAGGCAGCAUCCUGGGAAGCACCUGACGCUCAGAUGCGAAAGCCAGGGGAGCGAACGGG
rnacentral:rRNA from 1 species